rnacentral:rRNA from 1 species
AUGAACGCUAGCGACAGGCCUAACACAUGCAAGUCGAGGGGCAUCGGGGUGUAGCAAUACGCUGCCGGCGACCGGCGGAUGGGUGAGUAACGCGUAUGCAACCUGCCUUCAGCAGGGGGAUAGCCCGUUGAAAGACGGAUUAAUACCCCGUAACACAGGGGCUCCGCAUGGAGAUUAUUGUUAAAGGGAUGCUUCCUUCGGGGAGUAUUCCGGCUGAAGAUGGGCAUGCGUUCCAUUAGGUAGUUGGUUGAGGUAACGGCUCACCAAGCCUGCGAUGGAUAGGGAAACUGAGAGGUUGGUCCCCCACACUGGUACUGAGACACGGACCAGACUCCUACGGGAGGCAGCAGUGAGGAAUCUUGGUCAAUGGACGGAAGUCUGAACCAGCCAUGUCGCGUGAAGGAGGACGGCCCUAAGGGUUGUAAACUUCUUUUGCAGGGGAAUAAAGUAUUCUACGAGAUGGGAUAUUGCAAGUACGCUGCGAAUAAGGAUCGGCUAACUCCGUG